AGAUCAUCGUCGAGCUGUACGUGUGCUGAACGCGGAGGUGUCGUCCGUUCGGCACUAGAUCAGAACGGAUCAUGAGACAGAUCACAAGACGGUUCGUGAGAUGGAUCGCGAGAUGGUUCGUGGGACGGAUCGCGAGACGAAUCGCGGGACGGUUCGUGAGGCGGUUCGUGGGGCGGUUCGAGGGACGUGAAGACGUUCCACUACAUCAACCGUGUUUCUUAACGCUUCCUACUAUGCGAUCUACAAGGGUACGUAGAUCCAAAUCUCCUCUCGUAGAUGGACAUCACCAUGAUAGGUCUUCGUGUGCGUAGGAAAUUUUUUGUUUCCCAUGCAACGUUUCCCUACAGAUACCUCAUCCCCUUUUAAUGGUAUGGGUUUCCUAUGGACUCAAUUGUGAUUUCUCACAUAGAAGCAAAAUGUAGAGUCUUGAAGCUUGUUGCCAAUUGAUGUUCCUUGCACCUAGGGAAUCUCCUCACAAUCCUUUGCCAAUUGGUGUCUAGAUUUCUCUGAAACUGAAAGAUUAGGACAAAAUGUUCAAUGCACUGGAGAUAUCGAAAGAUAUUCUUGAGUCUCAACCAAUUGUGUUUGGUGGAUCCAAUGCAUGCACGGUGAUAUGGAACCAUAGGUCCCAACAUCUUAUUUCCAUCUCCUCAUGGUAUAGAUGAAUCAUUCUCUAAGUCUAGAGAACGAAUAACCAUGGAAAUUAUGAAUGGAUAAUACUUGUCCAUAAUCAAUUCCUUCAAUAGAAUCUGGAUAUAGACAACAUGGUGUACCAUAUUAUAUGGGUGAAGGUGUUCGAGUUUUCACCCAAAUCUUUCAUCUCAAAUUCCGUCAUUUAGAUGAUCAGAUGCUUAACAUGAAUGGG
rnacentral:lncRNA from 1 species